CCCCCACUAGUCUGGGAUACCACUUGGAAACAAGGUGCUAAUACCGGAUAAGAAAGCGGAUCGCAUGAUCAGCUUUUAAAAGGCGGCGUAAGCUGUCGCUAUGGGAUGGCCCCGCGGUGCAUUAGCUAGUUGGUAAGGUAAAGGCUUACCAAGGCGAUGAUGCAUAGCCGAGUUGAGAGACUGAUCGGCCACAUUGGGACUGAGACACGGCCCAAACUCCUACGGGAGGCAGCAGUG
rnacentral:rRNA from 1 species